GAUGAACGCUGGCGGCGUGCCUAAUACAUGCAAGUCGAGCGAUCAGACCUGUUCCUUGCUCCUCUGACGUUAGCGGCGGUCGUGUGAGUUACAUGUGGUUCCCCUACCUCUAAGACUUGCCUAACUUCGUGAAUCCUGUGCUACUACCGGCUUAUCUUUUCAUCCGCUUUGUUCAAUAGUUUUUUCCGUUUUUGCUGUCCCUUCUACCUGUAUCCUGGGCGCAUUAGUUAGUUGGUAAGGUAACGGCUUACCAAGGCAACGAUGCGUAGCCGACCUGAGAGGGUGAUCGGCCACACUGGAAGUGAGACACGGUACAGACUAGUACGGGAGGCAGCAGAAGGGAAUCUUCGGCAAGGGGCGAAAGCAGAAAGGAGCAAAGCCGCGGGAGUGAGGAAGGGCGACGGAUCGUAAAACACUGUUAUUAGGGAAGAAAAAAAGUGUAAGGAACUAGGCAAGUAUUGACGGUAGGGAAAGAGAAAGCAACGGCUAACUACGUG
rnacentral:rRNA from 1 species